UCUUUUUUGUCUGAACCUGGCUAAUGCAAUUCACCUCACUCUAUUUGAUAUUUAUCUGGCCAAGGUUAAAUAGUGAUUUUGGGACUUGACUGCUGCAGCAAAAUAUACCUGAAAAUAUACUUCAAAAAAAUGAGAAAAAGUAUUCAAGUAGUCCUAAAAUUAUCAACCAAAUUCUUAGUACCACAGGAUUUUGUUUUUUACUAAGUUUGGCAUCGGUAACAUUGGUCACGGCUAAUGGACUGUCCCACCCUAGGCUGUGACAACUUCUGGUCACAGCUAAUGGACUGUCCCAUCCUAGGCUGUGAUAGCUUCCAAAAGUUAGUCCAUACUGGAAUGAUGAACCUGUCAGUAGAAACCCAUGAUUAAAGCUGAAGUGAACAGAACAGUCAGGGAGAGACAGCCUUCAGGAACCUUGUCUGCCUGUAGGCCUUUAGAAAAGCUUAAUUUAUAGCAAACAAUACUUUGGCAUCUAAGCUGUCUAGACAUGGGUGUCUACUUUGAAAUCAUUUUGAUGGGAGUUAGGCCUGUGGGUCCUUUCCAAAUACCAUGGAAAAACUGCUACGGUUAUCUUUUGGGGGCCUUUAAAAUAAAUAGCCUGCUCAGAUAUGGUGCUGACAAAAAAAGCUAGGCAGGCACUGAUAUAGUAAUGUACAGUAAAAGUGGUUGCAUAUAGCAGGAAUUUAAUGAUAGAGGAGCAGCAUUCCAUUCCUGAACACAGUGGGAGUCCAGACUUCCAUUGGAACAUAGCACUAAAGAAGCACUGAAAGUUUGGGGUAUAGCUAUGGCUGAAGGUACUUAAAACACAUCCAAGCAGUGCAUCUGAAAGCUAUUCAAAAUGCCCAACUUGGAUAAGGAUACCAGGAAACACUGCUUUAUUUGUAGACAUCCUGGGCAGCUGUUGGCAGAUUCUGAAGAAAUACAGAGGGCAAAAAAAGAAAAAAAGCCUAGAUGCAGCGUACAUUUUGCAUUGACAAUACAUUCCUCUUCUGCUUCUGAAACAUAAUAAGCUUAAAGAGACUGCAAAUAGCUAAAAAGCUGUAAUUAGAGCCUUCUUCUAAAGCAUGCAUUUACUUCCUUGACGUUACGCAGGAUAGUUCCUGUUUUCCUGUUGUUUCCUGUGGCAUAAACAUUUAUUUUAAAUUUCUUUUGUCAUCUGGAUAGAUUUUGUCUGGAGGAGACGUGCUUUCAUGUGACAUUCUUCCUGUCCUGUAGCUGUUUUUGUGGCCUCAAAAGCAAUUGCAGGAUAUUCCUCUUCCAGUUCCUUCAGUGCCUCUCCUUACUCCAGUAUCUCUAAUCAACCAAUCUGUAGUAAUGUUAGAUAUCAUUUUUUCCCAGGAACCUAUGUAAUUACCUGAAAGAAUUGUUUUAUGUAGAGUAGGCUGGUCCUGAAUUUCCCAGAAAAGACUGAAACGUUCUUCAAGAUUCUAUAGCUCACCGAGGGUUUUUGGAAAAUUAAGUAAGUAAAGUAUUAUUCAGAAGAUAAUCAAACGAGAUGUGAAGGAACAGCAGGUUAACUUUAUUAGUCUAGACCCUUUGGGGUCAAGAACAAGCUUGGCAAAACAUCCAGGGUUUUUUUUCAUCAGCUGGGACAGUCUAACAAAAUUGAUUCUCCCUCUUUUUGCAGGGGUAUGGGCUGGAUAAUCUCUUGAGGCCCCCUCCUCGUGUGUGUUUCUCUGACACUAAAAUAUAUAACUCUUUACCUACUUAACAAGCGGUAUCCCAUGACCACACAUACAAUAGGAAAGUUGAGAGGACUUUCAUUAGCUGCCAGACUGCACUGAUAAUCAGCUUUAAAACUGAAAGUUGCCUUUACCACACGAUUUCUUCACAGCUACACAGCUCUGAUUUGUACUGAGCAAUCCAGUGGGUAAGUUCUGCUAGCAAAGUUUUAACAGAAAAUGACUGUCAAGUUCAUAAUCUGGCAACUGCAGAGACCCUAUUUUAAAAUUUGCACAUAGGUUUAUUUCUGUAAGAAGUGCUUUUCUGGAUUUACCACGUGACUUACAGACUACAUGAUUGAACGUUGCUUGAUAAACUAGCCAAAAAAUGUAAUAGCUGCAGUAAAUCCAUUAUGUAAACCUUCAAAAAGACACAUUCAAAGACAGAGACUCUUGGCUGAGGCUAUUACAACAUCAGAAAACAUUCAAAAACAACAUUAGGAAUCUAUUUGAAGUCUAUUUGGGUGACUGGCAAAGUCCACUUUAUUUAGGAUUCAAGGAGAAACACUUUCUGAUGGCCAUCAGUGAUGAGAUCACUGAAUUUUUUGUUCAUCAGAGCAGAAAAAGGAAGCUGGGGGUGGUUCUUUUACUCUAAUUAAAUGAGCAGGGAUCAUACCUAAAGAUCAUACGGGUUUACUUCCUCUCAGGAAUUUCAUAGCAUUAGUCUCCUAUCUGUAUGUAGUUUUCAUUCAGUAUUGCUACUUUUCUGUAAUGUUGUAGAUGACUGCUAAAGUCAUUUGUUUUAGCCUCCUAUGAAAGAGAGAAGGUAGUGGAAGAAAUGGAAUGUGAAUGGUCAGGUCGAUACAAGCAGAAAAUAGGCAAAACAGUUUUUAGAUAGAUGUGUUAAUGACCAAUCAAAAGGCUUAUACUAAGAGGGACAGUGAUCCAGUAACUCCUCAUAAAUAAAUAAAUGAAUUAACCCUUGUGGCUCAUAAAGAGUGAAAAUACUGGUCCUUCUUUUCAGCAUCUCAUACAAAAGUGUUUACAUUUCAAUAGAAAGAAAUGUAAUCUGCAAAAGAAUUGCAAAAGUGGGUUUUAUUUGCCAUGCAGUUAUCUUCCAACUGUUUACUCCAGAACUCCAUGAAGCGUAUGAUCAGGAGGAAAGGUUUUAUCUGAUCUCAGUCAAGAUUCUGGUAUAUAUAAAUAAGGACAAUUAGGAGCUAUAGCUUUUGUUGUUAGCAAACCAGUCCGGGUGACACCUGAGAAAUGUUUGUUUAUUCUAGGAAGCCUGGCUUCACCUUUCCUCAAAGCUCUGUCAUAUUCCCUCUUUUUCUUCCAAUUAGAGUAUUUUCAGCGUAUUAGCUUGCAUUCCAAACAGCAAAUGGAGCAUUUUGUUUCUAACCGUACAAGGUCAGCGCAUACUGCUUGUAAAGUUAAAUGCUGAGCACUACAAUCCUUUUGAGAAACUCGUUACUCAGACAUACACCAAAUUUUCUGACCUAGUUAAGGGGCUGACAUAUCAUUGAAAGAGUUAAGCUGGUUCAAGUUAUAAGACUGUACAAAGAUGCAAGUGUACUGAGUUUCACGGUCAUUCCUAUUAUUUCAUAACAGGACCAGAACACAGUGGUAUAGAGUGGUAGCUAGUAUAGCUACAUCUGCACCAGCCCAGCGCGACACUUUGGUUUUACCAGUGCCAGACUGUAAUAGCUGAAGUGAAGAUAAACCAACCGUAAAUAUUAAGACCUUCAAUUAGGGUCUGGUAUUCUCCCAGAGUUUAUAGCACCUGGCAGGGGGUGCUGGUCUUUCAGUAUGGUCUGGUUAGAGUGUGGGGUGGAAAGAAGCGCAGGCAGCCAGUAUGCAGAGGAGGGCAGGGACAUCUGGUUGUGAAGCGUCAGCGGGUGGGGAGGAAGGGGUUACCUGCCAGCCUGCGUGGUGGUCUGUGGCUCAGGGGAGACAAGGCAGAGGCUGGGGCAGGACAUGCUUGAGGUGGUUUGGGAUGGUGGGAUGUCAGUGGGCUGCCUGACCAAAGCAUACCACACCGUCUCUAAGUGAGGCCCUUUCCGUUUAACUAAGUCUGCAUUCGGACUGUCAAGCUAGAUAUUGAGGGGCAAAGUAAGAUGUGAAUUUACAGUGUGGGUUGCUCCUCAGUACCUGCCUGGGUGCAUGCUCUUACGACAGGAUAAAUUUUAUCCCUGUUUCAGUGAUGAUUCAUUUUCUCUGAAGGAUAACAUACCGAGUACUUACCAUAGAGAAGUAGCACAUAAAUAAGCAGUUAGUGCAAAGUAGCUGCCACUAACUAAUAACCUGAGAAAUGGGAUUUUUCUGGUAAAAUAAUUAAUGCAGCAUGUGUUUCAGUGCAAUAUUAGUGGAAAGGUGCCUAUUCCUUUCCUUAGGAGAUUUUUUUACCAAAAACAAUAGGCUAUGAUUUUGCAGUAUGGGAAAAAAAAAGGUGGGUGAGGAGGGUUACAAUAGGUGUCAAUAAAAUUCAGAGUAGGAAGGAAAAAGUCAAUAUGAAAGAGUUAUUCUUUGUUGCUUCCAUUUCCAGAACAGGUGAGUAUGCUGUGAAACCACCAGAUGGCAGGUUCAAAGCAAAUGAAGUGGCAUACUUCUUCACAAAGUGGGUGAAGAACCUGCGGAACCCUUGUCCACAGCCUCUUGUGGGUGUCAAAAGUUUUCGGAGGUUCAGAAACUGACUGUGUAAAUUCAUGCAUGAAAAAUCUAUUGAGGAUUAACAGGCACAAAGAUCGCAGACCUGGUUCGAGGAGUCUCUCAUACACAGACCCCUGGAAACUGGGCGGUGUUAAUGGCUUGCACACAGCAGGGCUCAGCUUGGAAGAAACCUGGAUGAAGCUGCUCACAGACAGAGAAGAGGCCUUCCAGUCAUUUUAAUCAAAGAGUAACUAGGAUGGUGUAAGGUAUUAUCCUUCAUCUGACAGCUAAAUAUAUUCAUAUGGGUCCUCUGGCAUGACACAGACAGGAAAAGUGUGCCUCACAACAGAUGCGACCUUAGCCACGUUAUUACUGUUAGGUGCAGACCUGCUAGAUCUGCCUGCAUUCUGGCCAGCAGGACAUGUGCAAGCUACCGAUAGGAAGCUGCUAAGACAGAUUAAGGAAUAUCUACGCCCAUGCUAGAAAUCAGUGAGGGAGAAGCCAGGGUAGUUCUCCCUGGGCUCUAGAAACAGGAGGAAGCCCGGAAUCCUCUCUCCCUCUUGCCCAAGAACCACACAACACCAUGCUGCCUACCCCUGCCUGGCACUGCAGUAUCCUGAGCCCUAAUGACAAAUCCAUGGAGUCCUAAGGAGGAGCUUCAGCUCCGCUGGCAAAUCUCCUGCACCCAGCACCUUCCCUGGUACAUCCCUCUCUCCUCUCUGUCUUCAAGGCCCCUGGGCACCAAGUACUUGGCAUGGGGAGACCCAGGAACAACUUGUAACUGUGGGGAGGACCUCCCUGUCCCUAGCCAAUGCCAUUGCUGCUUUUUACCCCUCUGUACUGCAGGACUGCGGGAAUAGGGUUCCACCUCUUUAACCUAUGUAGGCAGUAGACAAAUAGAUAGACUGCUUCUGCCCUCAUCUUGCUGAGCUACCAGAACAGAGGCCAUGGAAGCAGAAGUGGUACUGAGGUAGGGACUGCAAGUGUCUUGUUAAAAUGGGAAUAGAAAGGAAAAGUCUGUGCUAUGACCUGUUCAGCUUUGCCUCAGUCUUUCCAGAGUCAACAGCCUUCUUUGAGGCUGGUGGGACCUGGAAUUAUUUGCUUCUGUGCAACACCCAUAUCAGCUUACAACAUGCUUCCUAUUAUUCACCUGGUGUUCCCCUCUUUCCAGAUCCUUUGGAUAUAAGUGUAAAAAGCAGGAGGACUAGGGAAGGAACAGGGCUGAGGGCAGAUAGUUGAGAGAACCCUGAGAGCAAGUAGAGGAGGAAAGGGGAGGGUGACGUUCUCAACUUUCCUAAGUGUGAGGAUACUAACUUAGCCCUGGUGCUAAUACAGUGAUGAGGUUCCCAAAUCUGAGCAUCCUUGUAUCUCUCUCUGAUUCAGGACCUGGAUAUAAUCACCACACAAUUUUCUGCAUCUGACUGCAAACUUGGACCCAUACAGUGAGUUGGUGGUAAGGGGAAGAGAAACAGGACAGCAGUUUCUGGAUACAAGGCAAAGAUGUUGACCUGUAUGUAGGGAGUUGCUUGUGUGCCAUUCAUUGUCAUGGUUCAAAGGAACAGGAAAUGUGCAGGUUUGGUAAACAAGCUAAUUGCACUAAGAAAAUACUUCAUUGUAUGUCACCGAUUUUGACUCUCGGGGUAAACUAACUUCCAAAACAUUUUCAUUCAGCAAAACCCCGAGGAACUAUGCUGUUUUUACUUGGUAAACAUUCCCUUUCCUAACAAAAGGUAUUACUAGUCAGGAAUGAAACGGCUAGGCAUACUUUUUCUGAGAAGUGAAAGCCUGCAGGCAGAAUAGCUGACAUUCACCUAAAACCCUAUAAUUCUGUGAGUGAAGAAAAGAAAAUACACUCAACUGGCAGAUGAAAUGUACUGCUUUCCCUGUCUUCAAGUAAAAGGUCAAGCAGAAAAAAAUCGGGAGGUUAGAAAUAAAUCAGGAACAAUAAAAAUAGUUCUUAAAAAAAUGUGGUAUUAACACAGUGCUCUUCUUCCUGUAGCCUGAUCUCGCUGUACUGCUAGAAGAAAAAAUCCUGAGAAUAUGCCAAAGUAUUGAAAGUGAUACAAUUGCUUUAUGAAGGGCGAGGAAGCAGACUCUGUGGGUAAAGGGCUAUGUCUUUUACCUCUCAUCUCUCUAGUGGUGACCGAAGGAUCUCCUUUGUGAAAAUAAAGGGUACCAUUUUAAGAGCAUUCAUGUUGCUUGAGUGCGUUAUUUAAACAGUAUCUCCACAUUGCUGAGGUAACUUUAGUUAGGUUCCUGUUUAUGCAAUGUAAUUAAACUAUUGCCCUUCUGAGGGCAAACUAUCCAAAUUAAAUAGUCUUGUUUGGGUAAGGGCUGUUAAAAUGUAGAGCAGCUUAUUGGCCUACUUCAGUUUUAUUGAUCUGACUCUCUGCAUUUAUCUUUUAUAUCGCAGGAAAGUCCCUCCGGGCCUUCUGUUCAUUUCAUAGACUUUUUUCCCUAGUGUGUCAGGGAGAAAGAUAUUCUGACACACUUGUAGCUGCCUUUGCUCCCUGUUCAGUGAGAGAAGGUCCCCCUGGAACUGUGCAUCUCCAAAGAGACUGUGGUAAAACAGUGCUUCAGCAGAGCCACUCGGUAGAGUUUCCAGUUUUAGCUUGCAGAACAAACUUUCAGCUAUCCCUUCGAGCAGGAAGCUCAGGUCAGACAUAUGGCUUUUGAUCCUCAGUUUUAUAUAAUGAAUUAAAGGCAGCUGCAUUUUCCCCUUGUAUUAGACAUGCAUAAUUAGAAUAGCUUGCUAGUUUCUUUAUUAACACAGAAGCGUUUUUGCUUUUAGAGUGGAUGCUCUGAUCAGAGAGAGAUUAUUUGGUAAUGGUUUUCUGUUUGGAGCUAGCCUGUGGGAAGGUGGUAUAGCAGACUCAACUUGGAAGCUGACACCAGUGCGAAGAAGGUCUAUACCUUCAUAGCCGUGACUGGCAGAGAUUAAGACAAGUUAAGUGAGUUGACCAUUUUCUCUCCAUGGACCUCCAUAGACUACCUUCCAGUUUCUGGAGUUUGAAUACCUUUCUUUUUCCCUGUAGGUGAUGUCUGUGUGCCUGAAAGGUGAUGUCUGUGUGCCUGAAACAGACUUUGCAAUCUCCUCUGCUCUGGUCAUCAGUGUGCCUGCACCUGUUUCUCCCCAUGGUCCAUUUCUGCUGGACCUCCGAUGGAGAGACUUGUUCUCGAGGCCUCCUCACUGCUAGAGCUGUUUACCCACUUUGAUUUAACCUUUCACCUCCCUCAAAUCCCAACUUUUCUUUUUAAACUUCUGUGCCAACAGACGAAAAUGAGAUUCCAUACUUCAGAUUUUGGGCAUUUCUCUGGACCUGGCCAAGUGGUUGCAGUCUGCUCCUUCCUCUCUCCUCCCCCCUCGCCCCCAAAACAACUUUUCUUAAUAAUUCAGGAUGGCUUCUAGCUUCCUGAUCACCCCCACUCUUUUCCCUGAGGAACAGUGAAAGCUUGUCCUACCCAGCUGCUGGGAGUAGGCAGGACAUAGUUUUAAGUCCUACUCUGAGGAGCUCAAUUACAGGAGCUAUUUUUCUCUCUCUUCCACCCUCAAACUCCAGCUCAAGCCAGAAGGGAAGUGAAUCUGAAAGCUUUUAAAACAGAUUUGUAACUUUUUAUCAUUUUCUCACCACAGCCGAGUUUCAAAUCCUGUUCUUAUCAAAACGGACGGAACUUUUCCAAAGGAACUAGGUCUUAGGUGACUAUAGUGUUAGAAUCAGAAACUUAAAUGUAAUAUGAGCUGGAAAUACUUAUAUUCUUAGCUAUUUUCUUCCCAGCUUCCUCUCAGAGAGUAAGUUCUGCUCCCUGAGAUGUGAACACAUGAAACUUCCUGUAUGGCUGUUUUCCUGAAGAAAGUCUGGGUGGCAGUAGUGGAAUGCUUACUCUGCCCUUUAAAUUUGUGUUUUACCAAGUCAUUAAGACAGGCUGUGAGUAAGGCAAAGAAAGCGUGCUUUUACAACCCUAGAUUCUUGCCAAGCCACCUGGGCACAGGACAUGUCUGCACAGUUUCACGUACAGAGGCCCAAAGCAGUCUCCGUGCUAGAAGUGACAGCCCCAAGUUGCUGUAGCUCUGUGCCCCUGCAGACUGCCUUUGCUAAGCGGUAGGGUGUAUUAGCUUAACCGACACGCUGUGCUGGCAUGGCUAUACUCCCUCUGGGACCUGAACUAAGGCUACUUCUGCAUAUUUCUGGUAUCAAAACUAGUCUAUCUGGAGUUGUCCUGGCUUCUUGCACAGUAAUGUAUUGUACCGUGCAGAUAUAUUCCAGCCUCCCUUUGAAAUAAUAUCCCAGAUGUCUUCAGACCUUGCUCACUCACCAGAGUUGAGAUCCAUAUUUCAAAUAGCUAUAACUCCUUUUUGGUAACUACUGUAAAAACACACAAAACACACAAUGGCAAAUUAAGCAGUUUGAAGCACAGUGAUGAGAAGACAGUAAAUACUCCUAACAAGAAAAGAAGGUUAGUUUUCUUACUUAAUGUUGAGCUGUCUAGCAUUUUAUGCCUGUGUAGCAAAUUUAAAGACUCAGUUGGAAGACUAUAGACUAUGACAGUAGAAAGAUUUUUGACACAGAAACGUGCCUGACCUUCCCUCAAAAAGCUAAGCUAAAGAGUAGUCCCAGCCUUGUUAGAACAUAGGUUUAGAAAAUUUUUUUCUAUUUUUCAUAGUUUUAGAAUCUUUCUCUGUUCAGUUCUGUGUGGUCACCUUUUUGCUUUAUCUGUGAAAAUAUGGACUGUUUGGAAUACGUAUACAAUUUAUGCAACAUGAUAUUGGAAUUUUCCAUGCUUCAGAAGGUUCUGCCUGGCAGAGAAGAAACUAAGGUUCAGACUACCAGCGCUGCCGCAGGAUUCUCUCUUGGCUACUGAGGUCAACUCAAAUGUAAGGAAACAGGUCUGUUUUGGAUAAAGCUCAGUUUAUUAACAGGUUACUCUCUCCAUCCUGAGUUCUGGUGGCUCAUUACUACGUGGCCCCACAUGCUCUCCCAAUUCCAUGUGUGUUGCUGUAAAUUAGUGGAAAUUAGCCCCUUCUAACACACUAGGAUAAUUUAAAAUGCAGUUAUUCCCUGAUCUAAUUCAGUCAAAAUGAUCCCUGGAAGCUUCAGUAUCUAAUAGUAGGGAUUUUGAACCUAGAAAGUUCAGAGAAAAGUAGGUGAGGAAGAAAAUGCAUGUGACUUUGACAGCGUAUCUGAGUUCUCAGUAAUUUCUGUUGGAAAAAUGAUGACAAGCACCUUGGGGAAUGGGAAAGGGGGGCAUAGAUUCAUGUAACAUACACACCUGUCAUUCAUACCUACAAUCUCACACAGAAUACUGUUUUCUCACGGAAAGAUACUACUAUUCACAGAAGAAGAAAGGCCAAGUAGGAGAUUUUGCAAAGAUCAGAAUGAAGAAAAAUAGAAUAUAUGUUCAUAGCUGACCUCAUGUGAGACCAGAGGAUGCAUAGACUGCAAAAAGUAAUUUUGAACACCUUUCAUGCUCCAAAGUACUUUAUAUAAGACCAGUCACCAUUUCCUGCCAUU